rnacentral:lncRNA from 1 species
AGAGUUCUUUUUUUUUUUUUUUUCUUAAAGAUUUAUUUAUUUAUGAGAAACACAGAGAGAGAGAGAGAGAGAGAGAGAGAGAGAGAGGCAGAGACACAGGCAGUGGGAGAAGCAGGCUCCAUGCUGGGAGCCCGACACGGGACUUGAUCCCAGGACCCCAGGAUCAUGCCCUGGGCCAAAGGCAGGUGCUAAAUCGCUGAGCCACCCAGGGAUCCCCUCCAAGAGUUCUCUUAUUCUCUAGAUGUCUUGUUCCAUAAUUUCAUCUCUUUGGAAAUAUUAGUAAUAGUCUAUUUUUUUAAGUUUUCUCUUUCUUUCUUACUUCCAUCUCCUCCAAGCUGCUUGCUCAGUUUGCUAGUUUUGCUUAGGGGCUCUCCUCAUUUCUCUGGUCUGAGAAUUAGCUAUGGUAUUUAAGACUGAGGGACUGAAAGGCUGAGUGGAGUUUAUUAAAUUAUGAGCUGUGGGGCAGCUGGGCCUCCAUUGUCAGUAUCCACAGGAUCUUUCUUCUCUAGUUCUUUGGUUGGUCCCAUAUCUUUCUGGAUCUGAAAGGCCUGACUGCUAGUAUUGUAGGAGGUAGGUGAGGGAAGAUAGUGUCUCACCCUUCAGAAUGCAGAUAUCCAUUUGAUCUACUUGACUUCAACAUAUACAAACUCAGGUGUAACUUGGGUCCUUUGGGAGAGAGACCCACUUGCAUUAUCAACUUCAAAAAAUAAACCUCUGUCUUCUGUCUCCAUGAGGGGUUGGUCUCCAGGCUGUACAGCAGGAAAGAGGGAAUAGUGGAGGUCCCACUGUAUUUAUAUGGACUUGCAAGUGGUGCCCUAUUUUAAGCUGUCCUCUUUCACUCUCCACUUCUAAAGUCACAAAGCACUCCCAAUUUCCAAGCUUUUUGGGGAUUUUUGUCUUAGGUGAGCUCUCAACUCUUUACCCAUUAGUUUAGAAUUUAGACUGGGUUGGCAAGGGGAGAGUCUGUUGCAUUAUUUACCUCUGAUUCAUCUAUGUCCUAGCUUCCAAAAAUUUUUAAAUUUCUCAUUAUUUCAGUGGGGUCUGGAAGAAAGCCAAAGUAGAUGUAUGUGUACAAAUCAUCACCUUUGCCCAGAAAUCCUCUGGAAUAGAUUUCAGAAAUACCUCACUUUUUACAUGUUAUAUUCCAUGUUAGUCCACUUGUUUUUUCUUCUCAUCCUAUCUCAUUCUCUUUCUUUUUCUCCUUUUUGUAAUGUUUUGCUUGGUCAUCACAGCAUUUCUUUUUAUUGUGUACUUUUUGAACUAUGGUUUUCUCAAGACCUUUUGUGUUUUUAUGAUAGUUUGGAUUAAUUCUCCUUUACCGACUAUGUACCCUACUUCUCUGAUACCUGUCCAUCCACUCCUCAGAGGUUCCAUAGUUGGUUAUUUCUUAUUCUAGUGCUUUUGUUUGACUCAACAGCAUCAGGUUGGGGCUGGAAGGAGUUGUCUCCUAGGUUUGGGCAUGCGUGGCUGGUGGACUUGGAUUCUCUUUUUAAAAAUUCUGAAUCAGGGACGCCUAGGUGGCUCAGUGGUUGAAAGUCUGCCUUUGGCUCAGGUCAUGAUCCCAAGGUCCUGGGAUUGAGUCCCACAUCAGGAUCCCCACAGGGAGCC